UACAGAGGUGGCAAGCGUUGUUCGGAAUUACUGGGCGUAAAGGGCGCGUAGGUGGCCUUCUUAGUCAGACGUGAAAUCCCCGGGCUUAACCUGGGAACUGCAUUUGUGACUGGCAAGCUAGAGUAUGGCAGAGGGGGGUAGAAUUCCACGUGUAGCAGUGAAAUGCGUAGAGAUGUGGAGGAACACCGAUGGCGAAGGCAGCCCCCUGGGUCAAGAUUGACGCUCAUGCACGAAAGCGUGGGGAGCAAACAGG
rnacentral:rRNA from 1 species